AGUGAACGCUGGCGGCGUGCUUAACACAUGCAAGUCGAACGAGAACGGAAUAUAGCUUGCUAUAUUUGUCAGCUAAGUGGCGCACGGGUGAGUAAUGUAUAGAUAACCUGCCCUUAAGAAAGGAAUAACAGUUGGAAACGACUGCUAAUGCCCUAUAUGCCUUUAAUACAUAAGUAUGCAAGGGAAACGCUUUAGUGCUUAAGGAUGGGUCUGUAUGGUAUCAGCUUGUUGGUGAGGUAAUGGCUCACCAAGGCUAUGACGCCUAACUGGUUUGAGAGGAUGAUCAGUCACACCGGAACUGAGACACGGUACAGACUCCUACGGGAGGCAGCAGUGGGGAAUAUUGCACAAUGGACGAAAGUCUGAUGCAGCAACGCCGCGUGGAGGAUGACACAUUUCGGUGCGUAAACUCCUUUUAUAUAGGAAGAUAAUGACGGUACUAUAUGAAUAAGCACCGGCUAACUCCGUGCCAGCCGCCGCCGUAAUAC
rnacentral:rRNA from 1 species